UACAGAGGGUGCGAGCGUUGUCCGGAAUCACUGGGCGUAAAGGGCGCGUAGGUGGCUUGGUAAGCGUGUGGUGAAAGCCUGGGGCUCAACCCCAGGUCUGCCGUGCGAACUGCCAAGCUUGAGCAUAGUAGAGGCAGGUGGAAUUUCGGGUGUAGCGGUGGAAUGCGUAGAGAUCCGGAGGAAGACCGGUGGCGAAGGCGGCCUGCUGGGCAGUUACUGACACUGAGGCGCGACAGCGUGGGGAGCAAACAGG
rnacentral:rRNA from 1 species